GUGCUUGCUUUGGCAGCACAUAUAUUAAAAUAGGAAUGACACAGAGAAGGUUACCAUGGCCCCUGGGCAAGGAUGACAUGCAAAUUCGUGAAGUGUUCCACAUUAAA